GUGUGACUGCGUACCUUUUGUAUAAUGGGUCAGCGACUUAUAUUCUGUAGCAAGGUUAACCGAAUAGGGGAGCCGAAGGGAAACCGAGUCUUAACUGGGCGUUAAGUUGCAGGGUAUAGACCCGAAACCCGGUGAUCUAGCCAUGGGCAGGUUGAAGGUUGGGUAACACUAACUGGAGGACCGAACCGACUAAUGUUGAAAAAUUAGCGGAUGACUUGUGGCUGGGGGUGAAAGGCCAAUCAAACCGGGAGAUAGCUGGUUCUCCCCGAAAGCUAUUUAGGUAGCGCCUCGUGAAUUCAUCUCCGGGGGUAGAGCACUGUUUCGGCAAGGGGGUCAUCCCGACUUACCAACCCGAUGCAAACUGCGAAUACCGGAGAAUGUUAUCACGGGAGACACACGGCGGGUGCUAACGUCCGUCGUGAAGAGGGAAACAACCCAGACCGCCAGCUAAGGUCCCAAAGUCAUGGUUAAGUGGGAAACGAUGUGGGAAGGCCCAGACAGCCAGGAUGUUGGCUUAGAAGCAGCCAUCAUUUAAAGAAAGCGUAAUAGCUCACUGGUCGAGUCGGCCUGCGCGGAAGAUGUAACGGGGCUAAACCAUGCACCGAAGCUGCGGCAGCGACACUGUGUGUUGUUGGGUAGGGGAGCGUUCUGUAAGCCUGUGAAGGUGUGCUGUGAGGCAUGCUGGAGGUAUCAGAAGUGCGAAUGCUGACAUAAGUAACGAUAAAGCGGGUGAAAAGCCCGCUCGCCGGAAGACCAAGGGUUCCUGUCCAACGUUAAUCGGGGCAGGGUGAGUCGACCCCUAAGGCGAGGCCGAAAGGCGUAGUCGAUGGGAAACAGGUUAAUAUUCCUGUACUUGGUGUUACUGCGAAGGGGGGACGGAGAAGGCUAUGUUGGCCGGGCGACGGUUGUCCCGGUUUAAGCGUGUAGGCUGGUUUUCCAGGCAAAUCCGGAAAAUCAAGGCUGAGGCGUGAUGACGAGGCACUACGGUGCUGAAGCAACAAAUGCCCUGCUUCCAGGAAAAGCCUCUAAGCAUCAGGUAACAUCAAAUCGUACCCCAAACCGACACAGGUGGUCAGGUAGAGAAUACCAAGGCGCUUGAGAGAACUCGGGUGAAGGAACUAGGCAAAAUGGUGCCGUAACUUCGGGAGAAGGCACGCUGAUAUGUAGGUGAAGUCCCUCGCGGAUGGAGCUGAAAUCAGUCGAAGAUACCAGCUGGCUGCAACUGUUUAUUAAAAACACAGCACUGUGCAAACACGAAAGUGGACGUAUACGGUGUGACGCCUGCCCGGUGCCGGAAGGUUAAUUGAUGGGGU
rnacentral:rRNA from 1 species